rnacentral:rRNA from 1 species
AUUGAACGCUGGCGGCAUGCCUUACACAUGCAAGUCGAACGGUAACAGGUCUUCGGAUGCUGACGAGUGGCGAACGGGUGAGUAAUACAUCGGAACGUGCCUAGUAGUGGGGGAUAACUACUCGAAGGAGUGGCUAAUACCGCAUGAGAUCUACGGAUGAAAGCAGGGGAUCGCAAGACCUUGUGCUACUAGAGCGGCCGAUGGCAGAUUAGGUAGUUGGUGGGAUAAAAGCUUACCAAGCCGACGAUCUGUAGCUGGUCUGAGAGGACGAUCAGCCACACUGGGACUGAGACACGGCCCAGACUCCUACGGGAGGCAGCAGUGGGGAAUUUUGGACAAUGGGCGAAAGCCUGAUCCAGCAAUGCCGCGUGCAGGAUGAAGGCCUUCGGGUUGUAAACUGCUUUUGUACGGAACGAAAAGCUCUGGGUUAAUACCCUGGGGUCAUGACGGUACCGUAAGAAUAAGCACCGGCUAACUACGUGCCAGCAGCCGCCGUAAUAC